UACGGGGGGGGUAAGCGUUGUUCGGAAUUACUGGGCGUAAAGGGCUCGUAGGCGGCCAACUAAGUCAGACGUGAAAUCCCUCAGCUUAACUGGGGAACUGCGUCUGAUACUGGAUGGCUUGGAUUCGGGAGAGGAAUGCGGAAUUCCAGGUGUAGCGGUGAAAUGCGUAGAUAUCUGGAGGAACACCGGUGGCGAAGGCGGCAUUCUGGACCGAUAUUGACGCUGAGGCGCGAAGGCGUGGGGAGCGAACGGG
rnacentral:rRNA from 1 species